rnacentral:tRNA from 1 species
GCCGGGGUGGCGGAACGGCAGACGCAGCGGACUCAAAAUCCGCCGGGGCAACCCGUGGGGGUUCGAAUCCCCCUCCCGGUACCA